rnacentral:misc_RNA from 1 species
CCGAGUUUACAACUCCCAAACCCCUGUGAACAUACCACUUAUUGCCUCGGCGGAUCAGCCCGCUCCCGGUAAAACGGGACGGCCCGCCAGAGGACCCCUAAACUCUGUUUCUAUAUGUAACUUCUGAGUAAAACCAUAAAUAAAUCA